rnacentral:rRNA from 1 species
UACGGGGGGAGCAAGCGUUGUUCGGAUUUACUGGGCGUAAAGGGCGCGUAGGCGGUCAGCACAGGUCAGUUGUGAAAUCUCCGGGCUUAACUCGGAAAGGUCAACUGAUACUGUGCGACUAGAGUGCGGAAGGGGCAACUGGAAUUCUCGGUGUAGCGGUGAAAUGCGUAGAUAUCGAGAGGAACACCAGUGGCGAAGGCGGGUCUCUGGACAGUUCCUGACACUGAGGCACGAAGGCCAGGGGAGCAAACGGG